rnacentral:lncRNA from 1 species
AUGCUGCAGAACAGAGUAGAUCAGAGAAGAACAGAGAACAUGUCUUGGGCAUCACCAGUGAGCAGUCUCUCAGGCACUUCAGAUCACAGGCGUCAGACAGCAACCAGAAUCCAGAGUUGCGGCAUACAUGAGUCCUUCCCCGCAGCUUUCUCUCAUCUCAUUACAGCCGGCCACACUGACUGUGGCCGUCGACAAGCCCUUCAAGGUGCCAUGUUCUCAUUUUCAGCGUCUGUGGAGGCCCUGUGUAUUCUCUUGGCCGGUCUGUUGUUUAACGGCCUCUACCCCCUCACCUUGGCGACCGUGGCUGGGAUGCCCUUCGUCGUCAUGGCGACGCUCAUGCUGGUCGUCUUCGUCCUCUUGCAGUGGAUCAGUGAGAGCCCUGCUACACACCCUCGCCUCUUGCUGUCGGACUGA